rnacentral:rRNA from 1 species
GACGUAGGGCGCGAGCGUUGUCCGGAUUUAUUGGGCGUAAAGAGCUCGUAGGCGGCUUGUCGCGUCGUCCGUGAAAACCCACAGCUCAACUGUGGGCUUGCGGUCGAUACGGGCAGGCUAGAGUUCGGUAGGGGAGACUGGAAUUCCUGGUGUAGCGGUGAAAUGCGCAGAUAUCAGGAGGAACACCGGUGGCGAAGGCGGAUCUCUGGGCCUUACCUGACGCUGAGGCGCGAAAGCUAGGGGAGCAAACAGG